UACGUAGGGUGCAAGCGUUGUCCGGAAUUAUUGGGCGUAAAGAGCUCGUAGGCGGUUUGUCGCGUCUGCUGUGAAAAUCCAGGGCUUAACCCUGGACCUGCAGUGGGUACGGGCAGACUGGAGUGCGGUAGGGGAGAUUGGAAUUCCUGGUGUAGCGGUGGAAUGCGUAGAGAUCCGGAAGAACACCGGUGGCGAAGGCGGCCUGCUGGGCAGUAGCUGACGCUGAGGCGCGACAGCGUGGGGGAGCAAACGAGG
rnacentral:rRNA from 1 species